rnacentral:misc_RNA from 1 species
GAUGAAGAACGUAGCGAAAUGCGAUAAGUAAUGUGAAUUGCAGAAUUCAGUGAAUCAUCGAAUCUUUGAACGCACAUUGCGCCCCCUGGUAUUCCGGGGGGCAUGCCUGUUCGAGCGUCAUUUCACCACUCAAGCCUCGCUUGGUAUUGGGCAACGCGGUCCGCCGCGUGCCUCAAAUCGACCGGCUGGGUCUUCUGUCCCCUAAGCGUUGUGGAAACUAUUCGCUAAAGGGUGUUCGGGAGGCUACGCCGUAAAACAACCCCAUUUCUAAGGUUGACCUCGGAUCAGGUAGGGAUACCCGCUGAACUUAAGCAUAUCAAAAGCGGAGGA